CUGAGUGAGGGCCUUCGGGCUCGACCUCCAACCCUUUGUGAACCAAACUUGUUGCUUCGGGGGCGACCCUGCCGGCAUUCGUCAGCGGGCGCCCCCGGAGGCCAUCAAACACUGCAUCUAUGCGUCGGAGUUUAAAUUCAAUUAAACA
rnacentral:misc_RNA from 1 species